rnacentral:rRNA from 1 species
UACGUAGGGGGCAAGCGUUGUCCGGAUUUAUUGGGCGUAAAGAGCGUGUAGGCGGCCAGGUAGGUCUGCUGUGAAAACUCGAGGCUUAACCUCGAGAUGUCGGCGGAAACCAUCUGGCUAGAGUCCGGAAGAGGAGAGCGGAAUUCCUGGUGUAGCGGUGAAAUGCGCAGAUAUCAGGAAGAACACCAAUGGCGAAGGCAGCUCUCUGGGACGGUACUGACGCUGAGACGCGAAAGCGUGGGGAGCGAACAGG